AACGCACAUUGCGCCCUCUGGAAUUCCGGAGGGCACGCCUGUCCGAGCGUCGUCACAACAGUCGAGCCCCUGGGCUUGGUUUUGGGGGCAGGUCGGGGACUCCCUAGUCCCCGACCCCCCUACAACGUGUUGGCGGAGUCCUUCAGAGCCCCGGUCGUAGCAAAACGCCCCGACUUGGUGCCUCUGCAGGGCCCCACGGCCACCUUAAACCCCCUCCAACCCACGACCUCGGAUCAGGCGGGAGUACCCGCUGAACUUAA
rnacentral:misc_RNA from 1 species